rnacentral:rRNA from 1 species
GACGAACGCUGGCGGCGUGCUUAACACAUGCAAGUCGAGCGGUAAGGCCCUUUCGGGGGUACGACGAGCGGCGAACGGGUGAGUAACACGUGGGUGACCUGCCCUCCAGCUCUGGGAUAAGCCUGGGAAACCGGGUCUAAUACUGGAUAUGACUCCAUGACGCAUGUUGUGGGGUGGAAAGCCUUGUGCGGCUGAGGAUGGGCCCGGCGGCCUAUCAGCUUGUUGGUGGGGGGAUGGCCUACC